AAGGACUGCUAUCUGUACAAGGUUCUAGGACAGCCAGCAAACAAGAGAGAUGGUGGAGUAAGUUCAAAAAGGGAUGAAACUCUUUCUAUAUGACGUUGAAUUGAAAUUGAUGAAUGAGAUCUACAAAGCUGCAGGACAUGGGGGUUUUAACAUUGAACCCAAGGCUUUUAAGUCACAAUUCCCAUCGCAGGUCAGCUAGUUCAUUUUUCUGUUUGUUGAAGAUUGCUUGCCACUAGCAGAGGAGAAGUUUAGGGAAGUGAUUAAAACGAACUAUUACACGAGGACAAAGUUUGGUUGCAAAUUGACCUCUGAACAGGUGAAGAACUUGUGUAAGCUUUUCACUUCUGCUAGCAAAGAGUCCGGAUCCGAGGAGUCUGGUUCACAACUUAAAUCAGAGACCAGUAUUAUGGCCAAGAGGGGCAGAAGUAUGGGGCGGCAUGUGCAUAAGAAGAAAAAAACUGAACGUGCUCGACAAGCUAAGUGGGUGGAAGUGGAAGAGUCUAGGUCCAUGCAUAUCCACAUCUGCACGGAAGUGAUGUAGUUACAACUGCACUGGUGCCAUUAGCUUUGCCUCAAUAUUUACUACCAUGGACCACCUGCUACUGGUCAAUCAUAUAACAGAACUUCGGAAAUUGAUGUUUAUGGACGGGACACAAUGACACAGAGUCGUGAUUCUUACAGAGAGGUGCAACUGGUGGAGCCACAUGAUACUUAUAGGCGGGACAUACUGCUAAAGAAUCCUACUAUUAACAGAAGUGAGGCUCUAGCAGCAGAGCAUUGUGAUUAUUCCAAACAAGAUGGAUUAGUAGAGCAUCAUGAAUAUCAACCAGUAAAUUUGGAGACAGGGCACCAAGAUGCUGUAAACCAUUAUCGCGAUGCUUUAUACCAUGAGCAUUUGUCAUACCAUGAUACUGUAUACCCGACGGGCAGACAUCCCAAUUAUAACCCUCCUGCAGACCGACGACCUGAAUACCAUUUUGGUGGUCUAUCAAUGGAGUACAGUUCUACCAGAGUCAUCGCUCCUGAUUACCAUUCAUCUGCAAAUUCUCAGCCCGAGUUCCAUUAUCAUCAUCCUGUACACCGAUAUUAGAUUCUGUCAAAGGCAGCAGUACCAACUACCAAGUAGUGAAUAUUUCUCUCAACUCUUUUAUAUAAGGCCAGAAUUGCAGCUUGUUCUCUAACCGCGCAUAGAAUUAACAAGGGGGGUCCUUACAUGAACAUGAGCCGAGCUGAGCAUAGAAUUGAAGUUUAAACACACGGAAUUUAGUGAUCUAACAGUAAUUUUUCUUUUAAUUAAUAUCAGUAUAUACAUUUUGCUGAA